CCUACGGGAGGCAGCAGUGAGGAAUAUUGGACAAUGGGCGCAAGCCUGAUCCAGCCAUGCCGCGUGCAGGAUGAAGCAUCUAUGGUGUGUAAACUGCUUUUAUACAGGAAGAAACCUCCCGACGUGUCGGGAAUUGACGGUACUGUAAGAAUAAGGAUCGGCUAACUCCGUGCCAGCAGCCGCGGUAAUACGGAGGAUCCAAGCGUUAUCCGGAAUCAUUGGGUUUAAAGGGUCCGUAGGCGGGCCAGUAAGUCAGUGGUGAAAUCUCUCCGCUCAACGGGGAAAUGGCCAUUGAUACUGCUGGUCUUGAAUUAUUAGGAAGUAACUAGAAUAUGUAGUGUAGCGGUGAAAUGCUUAGAGAUUACAUGGAAUACCAAUUGCGAAGGCAGGUUACUACUAAUGGAUUGACGCUGAUGGACGAAAGCGUGGGUAGCGAACAGGAUUAGAUACCCUGGUAGUCCACGCCGUAAACGAUGGAUACUAGCUGUUGGGGGCAACUUCAGUGGCUAAGCGAAAGUGAUAAGUAUCCCACCUGGGGAGUACGUUCGCGAAGAAUGAACGACGAACGAAAGUUAGUAGGACGGUCGUAGACGUACGUCGACCGGACGGACCGACGACGGGAGGGAGGAGG
rnacentral:rRNA from 1 species